GGAAUCAGCAUCGGCUAACUCCGUGCCAGCAGCCGCGGUAAGACGGAGGAUGCAAGCGUUAUCCGGAAUGAUUGGGCGUAAAGCGUCCGUAGGCGGUUUGUCGCGUCUGUCGUGAAAGUCCGGGGCUUAACCCCGGAUCUGCGGUGGGUACGGGCAGACUAGAGUGCAGUAGGGGAGACUGGAAUUCCUGGUGUAGCGGUGGAAUGCGCAGAUAUCAGGAGGAACACCGAUGGCGAAGGCAGGUCUCU
rnacentral:rRNA from 1 species